rnacentral:rRNA from 1 species
AGAGUUUGAUUAUGGCUCAGGAUGAACGCUAGCGAUAGGCCUAACACAUGCAAGUCGAGGGGCAGCACAUGAAGUAGUAAUACGGAUGGUGGCGACCGGCGCACGGGUGAGUAACGCGUAUGCAACCUGCCUACAACAGGGGAAUAACCCGUUGAAAGACGGACUAAUACCCCAUAACACAGGGAUCCCGCAUGGGAAUAUUUGUUAAAGAUUUAUCGGUUGUAGAUGGGCAUGCGUUCCAUUAGCUUGUUGGUGAGGUAACGGCUCACCAAGGCAACGAUGGAUAGGGGAACUGAGAGGUUUAUCCCCCACACUGGUACUGAGACACGGACCAGACUCCUACGGGAGGCAGCAGUGAGGAAUAUUGGUCAAUGGACGCAAGUCUGAACCAGCCACGUCGCGUGAAGGAAGACGGCCCUACGGGUUGUAAACUUCUUUUGUAAGGGAAUAAAGUGUAGUACGUGUACUAUUUUGCAUGUACCUUACGAAUAAGGAUCGGCUAACUCCGUGCCAGCAGCCGCGGUAAUACGGAGGAUCCGAGCGUUAUCCGGAUUUAUUGGGUUUAAAGGGUGCGCAGGCGGGAGAUUAAGUCGGCGGUGAAAUUUUGCAGCUCAACUGUAAAAGUGCCUUCGAAACUGGUUUCCUUGAGUGUGGAUGAAGUAGGCGGAAUUUGUGGUGUAGCGGUGAAAUGCAUAGAUAUCACGAGGAACUCCGAUUGCGCAGGCAGCUUACUAAACCAUAACUGACGCUCACGCACGAAGGCGUGGGGAUCAAACAGGAUUAGAUACCCUGGUAGUC